UCAGAUAAUCCAAGUCGAAAGCACAAAUGAGGAAGUAAAUAACAUUAACCAGUUUUUGAAUUAUGCAAAUGCAAAAAAUAACUUGACGGAAAAAGAAAGUCAGGCAAUUCUUUCUAAAAUCAGCGAUCAAUUGUCUUAUUCCAAAUCCACAGUUUCUGAUGAAAUGGUG